UCCUGCCAAGCCGGCUAAUCCUACCCCUGCAAAUAACAACAACCAGCAGGAAGUUCCUGCCAAUCCGGCUAAUCCUUCCCCAACACAGAACAACAACCAGCAGGAAGUUCCUGCCAAGACGGCUAAUCCUUCCCCCGCACAGAACAACAACCAGCAGGAAGUUCCUGGGAAGCCUGGUAACCCUUCCCCCGCGCAGAACAACAACCAGGAAGUUCCUGCCAAGCCUGGUAACCCUUCCCCCGCACAGAACAACAGCCAGGAAGUUCCUGCCAAGCCUGGUAAUUCUUCCCCCGCACAGAACAACAGCCAGGAAGUUCCUGCCAAGCCUGGUAAUUCUUUCGCUGUUCAUGUUAGAUAGUUCACAAUAUAUGUGACGUGAGAUUGAACCGCAUCAGAAGGCAAAUGUGAAUUUGGAAGCUUUAUAUAUUGAGAGUGUUUGGUAUGAAGGAUAAUAGUCAGAAGGCAAAGUCAUUUCCUUCACAAUUAUCUUACCUCUUAAUUGUAUAUACCAUUGCUUGACCCUGUAAAGACAUGUCUCCUCUGAAUAGUGGCCAAAUUAAUUUGUAGGCUUUGCUGUAUCAAGAAGGGACUAGUCUGUAUAUUCCCAAGAAUAGUAUACGGACAAUAUCUCUUGAAGGAAGUUGUUUUCACUCCUCAAAGCUUUUCUUUUUCUAACUUCAUCAUAUAUUAUUUUCGUAACAGGUAACUCUUCUCCUGCUAAUAACAAUAACCAAGACACUUCAACUAGGCAUAAUAA
rnacentral:lncRNA from 1 species